rnacentral:lncRNA from 1 species
AUAGAUGUCGUCUUUGGUAGUUGGCAUUCUUCCCAGAGGAAGAUAAUGGGAAUCAGACAUGCUUCUGAUUGUCCCACCAGCCAGCUGCCGGUUUCAGCCCAAGCCAUUCUGAAUUGGAGGAUGAUGGUCUAGCUUUACUUCUCAAAUAGGCUACUCCUUCCCACAUGGUCAGGUAGCACUCAAAAUGUCACAGGGGAAAAAGUUUCUAUAGAAAAUGGAAGACAAUGUCUAAAUUCAGCGGCCUAAGUAGGUGGUAGUAAAGAUGUGGCUGCUGCUUUAAUUCCAGCCUAGGUCAGUA